AUUGAACGCUGGCGGCAUGCUUUACACAUGCAAGUCGAACGGUAACAGGCCGCAAGGUGCUGACGAGUGGCGAACGGGUGAGUAAUGCGUCGGAACGUGCCCAGUCGGGGGGGAUAACGCAGCGAAAGCUGCGCUAAUACCGCAUACGAUCUAUGGAUGAAAGCGGGGGACCGUAAGGCCUCGCGCGAGUGGAGCGGCCGAUGUCAGAUUAGGUAGUUGGUGGGGUAAAGGCUCACCAAGCCAACGAUCUGUAGCUGGUCUGAGAGGACGACCAGCCACACUGGGACUGAGACACGGCCCAGACUCCUACGGGAGGCAGCAGUGGGGAAUUUUGGACAAUGGGCGCAAGCCUGAUUCAGCAAUGCCGCGUGCAGGAAGAAGGCCUUCGGGUUGUAAACUGCUUUUGUACGGAACGAAAAGGCUCUGGUUAAUACCUGGGGCUCAUGACGGUACCGUAAGAAUAAGCACCGGCUAACUACGUGCCAGCCGCCGCGGUAAUAC
rnacentral:rRNA from 1 species